rnacentral:rRNA from 1 species
CAGGGAAUAUUAGUAAUGGGCGAAAGCCUGAACUAGCAACGCCGCGUGUGCGAAGAAGGCCUUCGGGUUGUAAAGCACUUUUGAGAGGAUGAGGAAGGACGGUACUCUCAGAAUAAGUCUCGGCUAACUACGUGCCAGCAGCCGCGGUAACACGUAGGAGGCGAACGUUAUCCGGAUUUACUGGGCGUAAAGCGCGUGUAGGUGGUUUGGUAAGUAGGGCGUGAAAGCUCCUGGCUCAACUGGGAGAGGCCGUUCUAAACUGCCGAACUGGAGGAUGGUGGAGGGAGGUGGAAUUCCGGGUGUAGCGGUGGAAUGCGCAGAUAUCCGGAGGAACACCAGUGGCGAAAGCGGCCUCCUGGACCAUUCCUGACACUCAGACGCGAAAGCUAGGGUAGCAAACGG